GAUGAACGCUGGCGGCGUGCCUAAUACAUGCAAGUCGAGCGAACAGACGAGGAGCUUGCUCUUCUGAUGUUAGCGGCGGACGGGUGAGUAACACGUGGAUAACCUACCUAUAAGACUGGGAUAACUUCGGGAAACCGGAGCUAAUACCGGAUAAUAUUUUGAACCGCAUGGUUCAAUAGUGAAAGACGGUUUUGCUGUCACUUAUAGAUGGAUCCGCGCCGCAUUAGCUAGUUGGUAAGGUAACGGCUUACCAAGGCAACGAUGCGUAGCCGACCUGCGAGGGGGAUCGGCCACACGGAAACUGGGACAGGGUCCGGAUUCCUACGGGAGGAAGCAGUGGGGAAUCUUCCGCAAUGGGCGAAAGCCUAACGGAGCACGCCGCGUGAGUGAUGAAGGUCUUCGGAUCGUAAAACUCUGUUAUUAGGGAAGAACAAAUGUGUAAGUAACUAUGCACGUCUUGACGGUACCUAAUCAGAAAGCCACGGCUAACUACGUG
rnacentral:rRNA from 1 species